UGUCUGGGCUUGGAGCAGUGCUGAGAGGGCUUGGGGAGAGGAUUGUAGUGGAGCUCCAUCCCCAUUCCACUCCUAGCAGCUCUCUGGCCACCCAC
rnacentral:pre_miRNA from 1 species